rnacentral:misc_RNA from 1 species
UUCAUAAUAUUUGAUUGAGACUCUGACGUAAAGAGACAGCGUUCGGUGGUCCUCCGGAGGCGGCGGCGGACGCUCUGCCCCCGAGGCAAAAGGGUUUGUCAACAAAGGGUUGGGGGACGGGGGCCGAAGCCCACCAUCUCUCGUAAUGAUCCCUCCGCAGGUUCACCUACGGAGA